rnacentral:rRNA from 1 species
UACGGAGGGAGGUAGCGUUGUUCGGAAUUACUGGGCGUAAAGCGCACGUAGGCGGCGACUCAAGUCAGAGGUGAAAGCCCGGGGCUCAACCCCGGAACUGCCUUUGAAACUAGGUCGCUAGAAUCUUGGAGAGGUCAGUGGAAUUCCGAGUGUAGAGGUGAAAUUCGUAGAUAUUCGGAAGAACACCAGUGGCGAAGGCGACUGACUGGACAAGUAUUGACGCUGAGGUGCGAAAGCGUGGGGAGCAAACAGG